GACGAACGCUGGCGGCGUGCCUAACACAUGCAAGUCGAACGAAAAGGCCAUGAGUUUGUGGGGCGCUCGUGUGGCGAACGGGUGAGUAACACGUGAGUAAAACGUACCUGAAAUAGGGAUAACUUCAGGAAAAAGGGGCUCAUAUCGGAUAGGAGCUCUUGCUGCAUGGUGUGGGUUGGUAAGUUUCGGCGGUUGGGGAUGGACUCGCGGCUUAUCAGCCUGUUGGUGGGGUAGUGGAAUACCAAGGCUUUGAGGGGUAGCCGGCCUGAGAGGGGGACCGGCGACAAUGGUACUGAGAGACGCCCCAGACUGCUACGGGACGCAGUGGUGGGGAACCUUACACAGUGGGCGGAAGUCUGUUGCGGCAACGCCGCGUGCGGGAUGACGUCCUUCGGGUGGUAAACCACUUUGUCCGGUGACGUGGCGUUAGUGACGGUAAUUGGUAAAGAAGCACCGGCUAACUACGUG
rnacentral:rRNA from 1 species